rnacentral:rRNA from 1 species
UACGUAGGGGGCGAGCGUUGUCCGGAUUUACUGGGCGUAAAGCGCGUGUAGGCGGUACUCUAAGUCCGGGUGAAAUCCGGGGGCUUAACCCUCGAACAGCGCCGGAAACUGGAGCGCUUGAGUGUCGGAGAGGGGAGUGGAAUUCUCGGGUGUAGCGGUGAAAUGCGUAGAGAUCGAGAGGAACACCCGUGGCGAAGGCGGCUCCCUGGCCGAACACUGACGCUGGAGA